rnacentral:tmRNA from 1 species
GGGGCUGACUUGGAUUUCGACAGAUUUCUUGUCGCACAGAUAGCAUGCCAAGCGCUGCUUGUAAAACAGCAACAAAAAUAACUGUAAACAACGCAGAUUACGCUCCAGCUUACGCUAAAGCUGCGUGAGUUAAUCUCCUUUUGGAGCUGGACUGAUUAGAAUUUCUAGCGUUUUAAUCAUUCCAUAACCUUAAGCUAGACGCUUUUAAAAGGUGGUUCGCCUUUUAAACUAAGAAACAAGAACUCUUGAAACUAUCUCAAGGUUUUAGAAAGUUGGACCAGAGCUAGUUUUAAGGCUAAAAAGCUAACCAAUUUUCUAAGCAUUGUAGAAGUUUGUGUUUAGGACAAGAUUUUUGGACUGGGGUUCGAUUCCCCACAGCUCCACCA